GAUGAACGCUGGCGGCGUGCCUAAUACAUGCAAGUAGAACGCUGAAGGAGGAGCUUGCUCUUCUGGAUGAGUUGCGAACGGGUGAGUAACGCGUAGGUAACCUGCCUGGUAGCGGGGGAUAACUAUUGGAAACGAUAGCUAAUACCGCAUGACAACAGUUAUUGCAUGAUAACUGUUUAAAAGGGGCAACUGCUCCACUACCAGAUGGACCUGCGUUGUAUUAGCUAGUUGGUGAGGUAACGGCUCACCAAGGCGACGAUACAUAGCCGUCCUGAGAGGGUGAUCGGCCACACUGGGACUGAGACACGGCCCAGACGCCUACGGGAGGCAGCAGUAGGGAAUCUUCGGCAAUGGACGGAAGUCUGACCGAGCAACGCCGCGUGAGUGAAGAAGGUUUUCGGAUCGUAAAGCUCUGUUGUAAGAGAAGAACGAGUGUGAGAGUGGAAAGUUCACACUGUGACGGUAUCUUACCAGAAAGGGACGGCUAACUACGUG
rnacentral:rRNA from 1 species